rnacentral:rRNA from 1 species
GACGAACGCUGGCGGCGUGCUUAACACAUGCAAGUCGAACGGAAAGGCCCUGCCUUUGUGGGGUGCUCGAGUGGCGAACGGGUGAGUAACACGUGAGUAACCUGCCCUUGACUUUGGGAUAACUUUAGGAAACUGUGGCUAAUACCGGAUAGGAGCUCCUGCUGCAUGGUGGGGGUUGGAAAGUUUCGGCGGUUGGGGAUGGACUCGCGGCUUAUCAGCUUGUUGGUGGGGGAGUGGCUUACCAAGGCUUUGACGGGUAGCCGGCCUGAGAGGGUGACCGGCCACAUUGGGACUGAGAUGCGGGCCAGACUGCUACGGGGGGCAGCAGUGGGGAAUAUUGCACAAUGGGCGGGAGCAUGAUGCAGGAACGCCGCGUGCGGGAUGACGGCCUUCGGGUUGUAAACCGCUUUCGCCUGUGACGAAGCGUGAGUGACGGUAAUGGGUAAAGAAGCACCGGCUAACUACGUG